AUUGAACGCUGGCGGCAGGCUUAACACAUGCAAGUCGAGCGGGGUGAUGGUGCUUGCACUAUCACUUAGCGGCGGACGGGUGAGUAAUGCUUAGGAAUCUGCCUAUUAGUGGGGGACAACAUCUCGAAAGGGAUGCUAAUACCGCAUACGUCCUACGGGAGAAAGCAGGGGAUCACUUGUGACCUUGUGCUAAUAAAUGAGCCUAAGUCGGAUUAGCUAGUUGGUGGGGUAAAGGCCUACCAAGGCGACGAUCUGUAGCGGGUCUGAGAGGAUGAUCCGCCACACUGGGACUGAGACACGGCCCAGACUCCUACGGGAGGCAGCAGUGGGGAAUAUUGGGCAAUGGGGGGAACCCUGAUCCAGCCAUGCCGCGUGUGUGAAGAAGGCCUUAUGGUUGUAAAGCACUUUAAGCGAGGAGGAGGCUCUUUUGGUUAAUACCCAAGAUGAGUGGACGUUACUCGCAGAAUAAGCACCGGCUAACUCUGUGCCAGCCGCCGCAGUAA
rnacentral:rRNA from 1 species